UAAAGAAAGCGUAAUAGCGCACUGGUCGAGUCGGCCUGCGCGGAAGAUGUAACGGGGCUAAACCAUGCACCGAAGCUGCGGCAGCGACACUGUGUGUUGUUGGGUAGGGGAGCGUUCUGUAAGCCUGCGAAGGUGGCCUGUGAGGGUUGCUGGAGGUAUCAGAAGUGCGAAUGCUGACAUAAGUAACGAUAAAGCGGGUGAAAAGCCCGCUCGCCGGAAGAC
rnacentral:rRNA from 1 species